rnacentral:rRNA from 1 species
CGGAGGGGUUAGCGUUGUUCGGAAUGACUGGGCGUAAAGCGCGCGUAGGCGGAUCAGCAAGUCAGGGGUGAAAUCCCGGGGCUCAACCCCGGCACGGCCUUUGAGACUGCUGGUCUGGAGUUCGAGAGAGGUGGGUGGAAUUCCGAGUGUAGAGGUGAAAUUCGUAGAUAUUCGGAGGAACACCAGUGGCGAAGGCGGCCCACUGGCUCGACACUGACGCUGAGGCGCGAAAGCGCGGGGAGCAAACAGGAUU